AACGAACGCUGGCGGCAUGCCUAACACAUGCAAGUCGAACGAUACCUUCGGGUCUAGUGGCGCACGGGUGCGUAACGCGUGGGAACCUGCCCUUAGGUUCGGAAUAACUCCCCGAAAGGGGUGCUAAUACCGGAUAAUGUCUUCGGACCAAAGAUUUAUCGCCUUUGGAUGGGCCCGCGUUGGAUUAGCUAGUUGGUAGGGUAAAAGCCUACCAAGGCGACGAUCCAUAGCUGGUCUGAGAGGAUGAUCAGCCACACUGGGACUGAGACACGGCCCAGACUCAUACGGGAGGCAGCAGUGGGGAAUAUUGGACAAUGGGCGAAAGACUGAUCCAGCAAUGCCGCGUGAGUGAUGAAGGCCUUAGGGUUGUAAAGCUCUUUUACCCGGGAUGAUAAUGACAGUACCGGGAGAAUAAGCUCCGGCUAACUCCGUG
rnacentral:rRNA from 1 species